AAUUGUUGUGGUUUUUUUUUACCAGAAACAUCAGAAUUCAGAAAGAGAGAAAAAUGGAAUUUUCUUAGCUAAUGGGAGCUUUGAAAAGCUCCAGAUUGUGAUCCACUCUAAAGUGGCCUGUUUUUAGCAACUUCUGGACAUGAGGAAUCAGAGUGGACUUGGAUCAUCCUCUAAGAGAAUCAAUAAUUAUUUUCUAUCUUAGUCACAGGGGCAACAAAAGUGCCUGGCUGUUCAGGAGAGCUUCAAUAUUUUCAUCCUCAUUGUUUUGUUUUUUUUGUUUGUUUUGUUUUUAGAUUGUGGGUUGUGUAAGUACACCUAUUGGAGCCCAGAAUUUAGGAGAAAUUUUGUAUUAUUUUCAUUUUUUAAAGAAAAUUUAUUCUUUCCAGUUUGUGUUCACAUAGAUUCUGGCCAGAUUUUUUUCUGUUGCACCAUACUGCUGGGUCUGAAGAAAUCAGCCUGAGGAUUAUAUGACAGAAUGAGGAAACGCAUCCAUACCCUCAGUCCAGCCCUGUCCUUCAAACUCUGGAUAUCAUUUAGAGUCCACCCUAGGACACUGCUGUGAAUUAGGAGUUCUCCUGUUAAGAAGAAGGUGGCUGAAUCAAGUGAUCUCCUAUAGACUGCAAGAAGGUCCUGGUGAAGAAAAGAUAAGGGACCUUCCCAGGAUCACCGAGUCCCAACACAGGUCUGCACAGACCACACUCCGUGCACAGGCGCCAGCAGCUGUGUCGUUCCCACCUGGAUAUGUUGUGGUUGUUCUGCAGACACUCCCGACCCUCGGUGCCAUAGAUGCCCAGGCUGGAAUUGCGGGUACAGUAAUCUGCCACAGUUUUCAAAGUCGCCCAUGCUACAGUUCUUGGUGAUGGUGUGCAUGACCCCAGCAGAGCUGAUGGCAUGAAUGAAGGAAGUCUCCCUGGUGGCUUUGGAGAGAAAAGGGGGACUGGGAACUUGGACCCUGAUGACCCAAAGCAGAGGCUAUGGAAAAGCAAUGCGUUUCUCUCCCCUGACCCCCGCCGCCUUUGGGUUUAAGAGAAUGCUGUUCUACGUAGAGAGCAGUGCAUAUCUCCUUCACUUCAUUCGUACUUCAUUCAGGCACCCCCAUGCUGCAGAUGGGGAAAGUAAAGCUCAGAGACAGAGUGACGAGACCAAGGCCAUGCUCCUCACCAAUGGUGGUGUUGGGACCAGGACUGUUUCCCCCUGAAGCCCAGCCUAGGUCUUUGUCCAUUAGCCACUGCUUUUGGUCCUCAGGCAGUGAGGACGCAGGGCCAUGAGGCUGUCUUAGGAAAGAGAGAAGGACCUUUUCUUCUUUCUGACAUGAAGCU